rnacentral:misc_RNA from 1 species
UAACAUUACCAAGUCCCACUGCAG